UACGAAGGGGGCUAGCGUUGUUCGGAAUCACUGGGCGUAAAGCGCACGCAGGCGGAUCGUUAAGUCAGGGGUGAAAUCCCGAGGCUCAACCUCGGAACUGCCUUUGAUACUGGCGAUCUUUGAGUCCGGGAGAGGUGAGUGGAACUCCGAGUGUAGAGGUGAAAUUCGUAGAUAUUCGGAAGAACACCAGUGGCGAAGGCGGCUCACUGGCCCGGUACUGACGCUGAGGUGCGAAAGCGUGGGGAGCAAACAGGG
rnacentral:rRNA from 1 species